rnacentral:rRNA from 1 species
AUUGAACGCUGGCGGCAGGCCUAACACAUGCAAGUCGAACGGUAACAGGAAGAAGCUUGCUUCUUUGCUGACGAGUGGCGGACGGGUGAGUAAUGUCUGGGAAACUGCCUGCUGGAGGGGGAUAACUACUGGAAACGGUAGCUAAUACCGCAUAACGUCGCAAGACCAAAGGGGGGGGCCUUCGGGACUCUUGCCAUCGGAUGUGCCCAGAUGGGAUUAGCUAGUUGGCGGGGUAACGGCUCAACAAGGCGACGGUCUCUAGCUGGUCUGAGAGGAUGACCAGCCACACUGGAACUGAGACACGGUCCAGACUCCUACGGGAGGCAGCAGUGGGGAAUAUUGCACAAUGGGCGCAAGCCUGAUGCAGCCAUGCCGCGUGUAUGAAGAAGGCCUUCGGGUUGUAAAGUACUUUCAGCGGGGAGGAAGGGAGUAAAGUUAAUACCUUUGCUCAUUGACGUUACCCGCAGAAGAAGCACCGGCUAACUCCGUGCCAGCCGCCGCAGUAA